rnacentral:rRNA from 1 species
UAAAGGGUCCGUAGGCGGGCCCGUAAGUCAGUGGUGAAAUCUCAUAGCUCAACUAUGAAACUGCCAUUGAUACUGCGGGCCUUGAGUAAGGUAGAGGUAGCUGGAAUAAGUAGUGUAGCGGUGAAAUGCAUAGAUAUUACUUAGAACACCAAUUGCGAAGGCAGGUUACCAUGUCUUAACUGACGCUGAUGGACGAAAGCGUGGGGAGCGAACAGGAUUAGAUACCCUGU